rnacentral:rRNA from 1 species
ACCCUACGGGGGGCAGCAGUAGGGAAUUUUCGUCAAUGGGCGCAAGCCUGAACGAGCGAUGCCGCGUGAGUGAAGAAGGCCUUCGGGUCGUAAAGCUCUGUUGCGGGGGAAAAAAGGCAGCAUCAGGAAAUGGGUGCUGACUGAUGGUGCCCCGCCAGAAAGUCACGGCUAACUACGUGCCAGCAGCCGCGGUAAUACGUAGGUGGCGAGCGUUAUCCGGAAUGAUUGGGCGUAAAGGGAGCGUAGCCGGCACCGCAAGUCUGUAGUGAAAUGCCGGGGCCCAACCCCGGAACUGCUUUGGAAAC